rnacentral:lncRNA from 1 species
GUUGGACUUGCGUAGUUUUCCAAAUUGACCAAAUUUGGAUGCAUCUUGCAGAUGAGUGUCUAUCUAGAGGAACCAAGGAGGUCAUGAAAUGAUGGUGGAAUUUCCAAUUCUGGACACAUUGUCAAGGCUUUAACCCUUGGACACAUUCUUAGCUGGAAGCACUGAGGCUCCUGGGGCUUAUGAGUAUCAGGUAAUGCCUGAGAUAUGACAAGUUUACUGCUAAAGCAGAUAUACUGCCUACACCAUCUUCUUUUCGUUGUUUCAGGCACUCGAUAUGUUCAGCAGAGAGCACAGUAGGCUUGCUUCUUUUCGUUGGAUUCCUCUUCACCGGCGCCGAGUCCAUCAUUGAGGCAUUCGUCUUGGCUGCUCAUCAUCUCGUUUACUGUUCAACGAAGUAGUUGGAAAGGAGAGAAUGUGAAAAUGAUGCAAAGACUCUUGUGAACUUUUACAAGUGCGUAAGGGGUUCUGUUGUUCUCUUGGACAGUGAUGGUGCAGCUGCAUUAGUGCUAGCGAGUGGGAAGAAGGCACUUGAAUGCAAUAGUGGCAGCAUGUGUAUUUUUUGGAAUAAUGAUAUCGUAUCAGCUUUUGCUAUCUUUCAUUGUAACUAGCUAGGAUGCAGCAACCAUCAAGCUAGUUAGAAUGUCUUCUUUUUGGUUUUAUGGUAAAGAACCAAAUAUAA